ACGAAGGGUGCAAGCGUUAAUCGGAAUUACUGGGCGUAAAGGGUGCGUAGGCGGUUCGUUAAGUCUGUCGUGAAGUCCCCGGGCUCAACCUGGGAAUGGCGAUGGAUACUGGCGAGCUAGAGUGUGUCAGAGGAUGGUGGAAUUCCCGGUGUAGCGGUGAAAUUCGUAGAUAUUGGGAAGAACACCAGUGGCGAAGGCGGCUAACUGGUCCAGAUCUGACGCUGAGGUGCGAAAGCGUGGGGAGCAAACAGGA
rnacentral:rRNA from 1 species